rnacentral:lncRNA from 1 species
AAUUGACUCAGGUACAGCAAGAGAUAAGGAAACCACUCUUCAAAAGAAGCUAACACUAUAGAGAUUAGCGACCCUCAAUAUUUUUUCUUCAUAACAAGGGAGAUACCAAAUAAUUGAUUAGAUUUCAAAGAUCACUAUGGAUGAAGUAUGAAGGAAAUAAAUGCAAGCAGAAUAAAAAAAAUCAAGACAAAAGGACCACAAAAACACUUUUUUCAAAAUAUAUUUCCUCUCUCCUUUAUCAAAGAUGAACGUGUUCCUUUUUGCUGCUGGCUGAGUAGUUGCUUGGACAUCCUGAUAUAUAAAACGCCAAGAUAGCAACGCUUGCUCUUUCAAGAGAUGUCAUCAGAGUGCGGGCCAUGGGGGCCUGCAGAGGGCACUGGGCUCACCCCUCCGGCUGCUCACUCACCCUCCAUGCCACUGACCCACCCCCAGUGAAAGGUAUCACCUUGACACAAAGUGAAGGUCAAAAGAUGAAUUCACCAGGGAUGGCCAGACAACAAAACUGACACCACUCCAUUGGAAGUACGCUGGAAAGAAGGCUGAUUGUGAAA